CCUACGGGAGGCGGCAGUGGGGAAUAUUGCACAAUGGGGGAAACCCUGAUGCAGCGACGCCGCGUGAGUGAAGAAGUAUUUCGGUACGUAAAGCUCUAUCAGCAGGGAAGAAAAAAAGUCCUUUGGACUUUGGAAGGUUCCUGACCAAGAAGCCCCGGCUAACUACGUGCCAGCAGCCGCGGUAAUACGUAGGGGGCAAGCGUUAUCCGGAUUUACUGGGUGUAAAGGGAGCAUAGACGGCAGCGCAAGUCUGGAGUGAAAUGCCGGGGCCCAACCCCGGAACUGGGUUGGAAACUGUGCAGCUAGAGUGCAGGAGAGGUAAGUGGAAUUCCUAGUGUAGCGGUGAAAUGCGUAGAUAUUAGGAGGAACACCAGUGGCGAAGGCGGCUUACUGGACUGUAACUGACGUUGAGGCUCGAAAGCGUGGGGAGCAAACAGGAUUAGAUACCCUGGUAGUC
rnacentral:rRNA from 1 species